UGGAGAGCGCGGACAUUUCUGAGACGUUUUGAAAAUUUGCCGAGAUGAAAGCCUAAAAAAGAAAUCGGAGAAUUAUAGUUCGCAAAAUUCUUGUCCCCUGUAGUCAUUGUAAACUUGGGGGAAAUGCAUAAAGACUUUAACUCUGUCAAAUUGAAGGGAAUGGCAUGAAAGAAGGAAUUGCGUGGUACAUUCAAAUGGAGGAUCAAUUUUUAUAAGGAGUCCAGAUGAAAAUCGCAACUGUACAGAAAUGAGUA